UACGUAGGGGGGCAAGCGUUGUCCGGAUUUAUUGGGGCGUAAAGAGCGUGUAGGCGGCCAGACAGGUCCGUUGUGAAAACUAGAGGCUUAACCUCUAGACGUCGAUGGAAACCGUCUGGCUAGAGUCCGGAAGAGGAGAUGGAAUCCUGGUGUAGCGGUGAAAUGCGCAGAUAUCAGGAAGAACACCCGUGGCUAAGGCGG
rnacentral:rRNA from 1 species